CUCCUCAGAAAAUGAUAUUUUCUUUUUUAUUGCAUUGUCAGGCUGCAAAUUUUCAGAACUUUUAUGUUCUGCUUCCCCUGUAAAACUGACUGCCUUUAACAGCACACAAGUCACCUCUUCAGUGCUUUGCUGCUUAGAAAUUUCUUCUGCCAGAUACCCUAAAUAAUCUCUAUCAAGUUCAAAAUUCACAGACCUCUAGGGCAGGGGCAAAAUGCUGCCAGUCUCUUUGCUAAAACAUAGCAAGAGUCACCCUUAUUCCAGUUCCCAACAAGAUCCUCAUCUCCAUCUGAGACCACCUCAGCCUGGACUUUACUGUCCAUAUCCCUAUCAGCAUUUUGGGCAAAGCCAUUCAACAAGUCUCUAGGAAGUGCGAAACUUUUCCACAUUUUCCUGUCUUCUGAGCCAUCCAAAAUGCUCCAACCUCUGUCUGUUACCCAGUUCCAAAGUUGCUUCCACAUGUUCAGGUAUCUUUUCAGCAGCACCCCACUCUACUGGUGCUAAUACACUGUUAAAUUAGCAAAUAAAUUUCACCAUGCAUUUUGAAGGGGAUAUUCAAACCAUAGCACUCUGGUUUUGUUUGAUUUUCUUUCUGUCUUCUCUCCUUCAAGUCAGAGCCCACCAUGGAAUCCUUGUUCUGAUGGAUUUACUUUUCUAUGCUCUAUUUUCUAAUAGAGUCUUUCAACCUUUGUUUUUCGUCAAACCAAUGUAUUUUCUAAAUCGUGUCCUCCUUUACUGCUAUAAAAACCACACAGGCUCAUGAUAGCAAUGGUCAUUUUAAAAUUUCUUUUAACGAAUCUAAGCUUAUAGGUUAGCAUUUUAAGUUGUCCAUGUUUAUAAAUAAAAAAGAAUGUAAAUGGUGAAGAUUCUACCCAGAAGUUAUGGACGUCGUGGUUGCCCUCCCAACUCCACACUCAACCUCUAUUACAUCCCAUUUAAUUGUCUUAGGCAAAACAUGUUUGAUCUUUCAGUCUUGCAGGAAUGGCUUAGAGUAGGCUUGGAUGGAUCAAUGCAUAUUGAAGAUAGACUUACUGAACAUAUUGAGGAAAGAAUAUUUCUGUGUUUAAAUGAAAGCUAUGAAAGCUAAUUUUUUCUAUGUCUUGCUAGAUGUAAACACCAAAACACGUAGUUUUAAAUUGCCACCUACAUGGUGAAGCACCAGCCUUAGAGUAAAAUUGACCCUGUGCACUUGAGGAGGGUUACGAAACUUGGAUCCAUGAUGAAAUUCCUGAGUCUCUCUGAUCUUUGCUGAAGCCCAUUCUCACCACAGCUUCCACUGUUGUUGACCAAUAGUUUCUCUUAUUGUUUUAAACCAGCUAAAGUUGGGUAUUCUGUAACUUAUGGUCAGACCCAUAUUAAGGGUUACACUAGUUUUUAUCAUUGAGUGUCUACACUGUGUUAAAUCCUGAGGCUGACAUUUUACAUACUGUAUAACUCUAGUGAACAUUGCUAAAGGUAAAUUCUCUCAAUCUCAGCAGUCCUACAAAUUUCCCCAAAAAGGGAAGUCUUUUUCCUGGUGUCUUCAGUCUCAAACCUCUUAUUUAUUUUAGAAAAGGGUGGUAGGCCAAAAGUUACUAGACAGGUUUUAGACCAUGUAUAUUAUAAAUCCUACACCCAUGGGCUGGCUCUUCACUAUGGAAUAUAAGUAUGCUUCUCAUUUUUUGUGUUGUUCUUAGCUUAGGUGAAGCUAAGAACCUAUGGAGACUUUUUGUCUCCAAAACCAAGACAGAAAGUGUCCUAGCAUCUUGUUUUACAUAGAUAAAAUGUAGCUACAUUGUAAUGCAUGUAGUGGAAAAAUAACUGGACUCUAUUAAAAUAAUUGGCUAUGGUCUUGGCAUCUUCUCUUAUUAACUAAGUGACCUUGGAGAAGUUACUUGACAUCUCUAAGCCUUAGGUUCCUCAUCUGUCAAAAGGAAAUAUCAUAUCUAUUUGUAAUGCCUGACAAAUAGAUUCACAAUAAUAUGAUUGUUGAAUGUAAUUGUAGAAUAUGCACUUCUCCGUCUUGCAAUUUAAAAUAUCACCAGUACAAGUGAUAACUGAGCUUAUUGAAAUUAGCCAACUAUACCAUUAAGUGUCAUAUUAAGUACCUGUUCUUUGAUUUGUUUGACAUGGAUUAAAAAGGGCAGAGAAAUAUCUCUUUAGCUACUAACAGGCAGAAAUUCUAGUUAUUAUAACCAUUUUAAGCCUAUAUUUUACAUGUACUUACCUAUUGUUCAUGUUUUUAAAGAUAAGAUUCUUCACUUUUAGAAUUUACAUAUUUUGAAUUCGUUUCUCAUGCCACCUGCAUAUGGGAAAGCUCUCCGUGUUAGAUGAGGUAGACAGCAUAGUCAGUUCCCUCAAAUACAUCUCACGUCUUCCUGACUGCCUGUUUAUUUAGGCAAUUGGCCAAAACUCCACAUCUCAGCCCUGAUUCAUCUACGCUAAAUCUAAGCUAAAUCUCACCUGCCUUAUUAGCCAUUGGCUCAGAAACUCAGCUUUAAACACUUUAGUGAUUGACAUUAAACUGGUGAUAGGUACUGCUUUAUAGGUACCUAUGUAUGGGGCAUUAACAGGGAUGGAAGUUUAUUUUUCAUAGUUAGAAAGAGGCAUUUGCCACCUCUCUUGCAGCAAAUAGGAAUGAGGAAGCCAAUGCUAGCUUCCUCUUGUGACUGUAAGACAGGAAGCCAUUGAACAACCACAGAAGGAGGCAGCAUUAAGAGGAAGCUGAACACUCUGGAUUACAGAGUACCAGAAAAGAAAAAUCUGGGGUAAUUCAUCACUUUUGUGAACUGUCCUUUCUCUGGAAUCCCAGAAUUGUCAGUCAUUAGAAUCUUUGUCUUUAAUUAUCAUGCAAAACACGAAAAGAGACCUCAUAUAAAGGAAUGUGUUCAUUAUUUUACUCUCAUCCUGGCUGUGGGUACUCAAAUCAUUGAAAAGGGGCUUAUAUGUCUAUUUAUGAAAUAUGAUGUCUAUUUGUUCCAUUUAGGCUUUCCAUUUUAGCAAGAGUAGUAGAUUUUAAGUAAGUGGUUUAUUAUUUUUAGACUGAUAACAUUUUAGAUAUGUGAUAUAUUUUAAAUAUAAAAAUGAUGACUACUGCAUCCUUUUAUAUUCAUAUUGUGUGGUAUUUUAAUAUAUGUUAUACAUAUGUAUAUUUUAAGAAAUUGUUGUUGAAAUUAUCCUAUUGUAAUAGUUAUUAUUGCAAGUCACCCACAUAGCAACCUUUAUUUCUUACUACUGUUUUUACUAUGCCAACACUUAACACACUUAGUAAUCUCAUAAGCUUCAGAUUACCUCUAAUGCAACUUCACUGCAUUCUGUCUAAUCACUUUCUUGUUUCUGACAUAGAUAAAUAUUUCUCAAAUCAUUUUACUCUUUCCAUCUUUUAAGAUUUUGAUAUAUACUUCAAAAUUUUGAUAGAUUUUGAGAUGUGUGUGUAUAUAUAUGUAUGUGUGUGUGUAUAUAUAUAUAUAUCUGAACUCACUCUCCAUAUAUAUAUAUAUUUCCCUUUGGAUAUAUACCCAGUUAUGCGAUUGCUAUGUUAGAAAAUUAAUUACUUUGAGACCUUUCUAACUUUUUGAUGUAGGUGUUUAGAGCUAUAAACUUUCCUCAUAUAUGUAUAUCUGAACUAUCUCUCCAUAUAGAGAGGUAUAGAUAUUUUUCUCUGUAUGUACUGAUUUACUUAAUAAUUUUAACUUUCAUUUUAGAUUCAAGGGGUACAUGUGCAGGUUUGUCAUAUGAGUAUAUCGUGUGUUGCUGAGGUUUGGGAUAUGAAUGAUCCUGUCAAGCAGCUAGUGAGUAUUGUACUCAAUCAUUAGUUUUUCCCUCAUCCAUCCCUUUCAUUCUAGUAGUCCCCCGUGUCUAUUAUUGCCAACUUAAUAUCCAUGAGUACCUAAUGUUUAGCUCCCAAUUGCAAGUAGAACAUGUAAUUUACUUAGGAUAAUGGUAUCUAGCUCCAUUCAUGUUGCCACAAAAGACAUGAUUUCAUAUUUAUGGCUGCAUAGUAUUCCAUGAUGUAUAUGUACCACAUUUUCUUUAUCCAAUCCACUGUUGAUGAGCACCUAGGUUGAUUCCAUGUCUUUGCUAUUGUUAGUAGAACAGCAAUGAACAUAAGAGUAAAUGUGUCUUUUCAGCAGAAUGAUGUAUUUCCCUUUGGAUAUAUACCCAGUAAUGCGAUUGCUAGGUUAGAAAAUUAAUUUGAGAUCUUCCUAACUUUUUGAUAUAGGUGUUUAGGGUUAUAAACUUUCCUCUUAACACUGCUUUCACUGUAUCUCCUAUAUUUUGGUUUGUUGUGUCUCUGUUUACAUAUAUUUCAAAUAAAUAUUUGUUUUCUGCCUUAAUUUCAUUGUUUACUCAGAAGUUAUUCAGGAGCAAGUUGUUUAAUUUCCAUGUGCUUGUGUGGUUUGGGGAAACUAUUUUAUAUUGAUAUAUAUUUUUAUUCCACUAUGGUCUGAUAAUGUGGUUGGUGUCAUUUUGAUUUUUUUUAAAUUUAUUGAGACUUGCUUUAUGGCCAAACAUAAUGUUGAUCUUGGAGAAUGUUUUGUGUGUAGAUGAGAAGGAUGUAUAUUCUCUUGUUGAUAAGUGGAGUGUCCUAUAGAUGUCUGUUAGAUACAAUUGGUCAGUGUUGUAUUCAAGUCCAGAAUUCCUUUGUUAGUUUUCAGCAUCAAUGGUCUAUCUAAUGUUGUCAGUAGGGUGUUGAAUUCUCCUACUAUCAUUCUGUGGCUCUGUAAGUCUUUUCAUAGGUCUAGAAGUAGUUGUUUUAUUAACCUGGGUGCUCCAGUGGUGGGUGCAUAUAUAUUUAGAAUAGUUAAGUACUCUUGUUGAUUUCAACUGUUUGUCAUUAUGUAAUGUUCUUCUUUGGCUUUAUUAAAUCAUUGUUUAAAGUUUAUUUUAUCUGAUCUAAGAAUAGCAACUCCUUUUUUUUCCAUUUGAGUGACAGAUCUUUCUCCAACCCUUUACUUUGAACCUAUGGUUGUCAUUGUGUGUGAGAUGGGUUUCUUAAAGACAGCAGAUGGAUGAAUCUUGCUUUUUAAUCCGACUUGCAAUUCUGUGCCUGUUAAAUGGGGCAUUUAGAUCAUUCACAUUCAAGGUUAAUAUUGAUAUGUGAGGUUUAAUCUUGUUGUGAAGUUGCUAGCUUGUUGCUUUGUAGUUUCUAUUGUGUCGUUGCCUUAUAGGCUCUGUGGACUAUGUACUUAAGUGUGUUUUUGUGGUAGCAGGUAUCAUGCUUUCAUUUCCAUGUUUAGAACUCCCUUAAGAAUCUUCUUUAAGGCUGAUAUAGUGAUAAUGAAUUUCCUUAGUGCUUGCUUGACUAGAAAAAAAAUGUAUCUCCUUUGUUAUGAAGCUUAAAUGGUGGUAUAUGAUAUUCUGGGUUUUAAUUUCUUUUCUUUAAGAAUGCUGAAAAAAGGCUUCCAGUCUCUUCUGGCUUAUAAGAUUUAUGCAGAAAAGUCUCCCGUUAGCCUGAUGGGAUUCCCUUUGUAUGUAAUCUAGUCUUUUUCUCAAGCUACCUUUUAGAUUUUUUCUUCAGGGUUAGCCAUGGACAGUCUGGGGACUAUGUGUCUUGGUGAUGUAUAUUUUGUACAGUAUCUCACAGUUCUUCUCUGGGUUUCCUGUAUCUGGAUGUUUACCUCUUUAGCAAGAUUAGGGAAAUUUUCUUGAAUUAAUCCCUCAAAUAUGUUUUCCAAGUUGUUUACUUUUUUUGUUGAUUCCAAAAAUGCCGAUAAUUUGUAGGUUUGGUUGCUUUACAUAAUUCUAUAUUUUUUGAAGACUUUGUUCAUUUUUUUAAAUUAUUUUUUCUUAAUUUUUGUCUAAUUUGGCUAGUUUGAAGGACCAGCUCCAAGCUCUGAAAUUCUUUUUUUCUAUUUGAUCCAGUCUAGUAAUAAGUGUUUCAAUUAUAUUUUGAAAUUCCUUAAGUUUUUCAAUUUCAGAAAUUCUGAUUGAUAUCUUUUUAAAAUGUUUAUGUCUUCCUUCAUUUCCUGGAUUGAUAUAGAAGUUUCUCCAUGUUGAUUUUCAACCUUGUCUUGGGUCUCUUUGAGUUUCUUUGCAAUCCAUGCUUUUGAAUUCUUUAUCUGUCAUUUCUGAGUUUCCAUUUUGGUUAGUGACCGUUACCGGAGAGCUAGUGUGAUCCAUUGGUUGUUUCACUGCAUUCAGAUUUUUCAUGGUUCCAGAAUUCUUGUUCUGAUUUCUUAUGUGGAGACACUAGAACUUCUAAUUUUUAUAAUCAUUUUCAUAUGUGAAUAAUUUUUUUUCUUUUUCUUUCUCUCCCUAUAAUAAAAUACGGUGUUUUUUUUUUUUCUUUCUCUUUCCCUUUUCCCUUUGUCCCCACUCCGGGGUGUGAUUGUAAAGAAUGUUGGGAAGAGUCUUUUUGCUUUGCCUCUAUAGCCCUAUGCAUUUCAGCAGAUUUUAUAUUGGGCUGUGCAGUUCAUCCUACAAGUCAGUAAAUGAUUCUUAUGGGUAAGUGCCAGAUGUGGCCAGUGUGGCUGCAUAUAUACUUAAUUCUUGUUUACUGGGAGCUCUCUGUUCCCUCAGACAAUGGGCUGAUUCAUGGAAUACACAAUGUUCUGUGCUCCUAAGGUGGGGGACAAGAUGGGUGGGGCCAGGUUGGGCAGGUCCACCUACAGUUUCCCUGCUGGCAGGCGCAAGCACCAGUGCCAAGGGAGAAUCAAAUGGGUAGCCACCAAGCACCCAGAAGUGUGCCUAGGCUUGAAGCUGGGAAACCUCCUUGGCCCCAAGCUCUCUGCAUAGUAGGUGGGGUAGCCUCAACUCCUAAUCCAGGAGAGUGAGUGCUCCAGAUAGCUGGAAAUUUGCAUGGGUGUGAGGUGUAGAAGACCCCAGUGCAGCACGAUCGCUCCACAAGAAUGGUGGGGUGCCUCAGGCUGCUGAACCAGGCAAGCGGAUACUCCUAAUGCCUGGAAAUCUGCGUGGAUGUGAAUUGGAGAGGGCCUCCCUGUACCAGGAUCUCUGCACAGAAAGGGUGGUGUGGCUCAGGCUGCUGAGCAAGGCAAGCAGGUGCUUAGAAUGCCUGGAAGUCUACUUUGGUGUAAAGUGGAGAGGGCCUCCCUGUACCAGGAUCUCUACACAGAAAGGGUGGUGUGGCUUGGGCUACUGAACCAGGCAAGCAGGUUCUCAGAAUGCCUGGAGCUCUGACCAAGUAUGAGGAAGACAGGGCCUUCUUGCACCAAGAUUUCUGCACAGGAAGGAUGGGACAGCUCAGGCUGCUAGUUCAUGUUAGCGGAUGUCCCAAAUGCCUGGUGAUCUUCCCAGGAGUGGAGCAGAGGGCACCCUGCUGCACCAGGAUCUCUGGGGAGCAGGCUAGGGCAUCCAGCAAUGACACACACAGACUGGUUCCAGGUCCCCAAGCUGACUCUUGCUGCAAAUCUCGUUGCCCAGGAGAAACCAGAGCUGCAGCAGCUCUUCUCCUGUCCCAGGCCUGUGACCAUGGAGAGCACAAUUCUAGCACCUACUACUGAGCCACUUUUCACAGUUCUGAGUGUGAAGGCCCCUACCCUACUCCAGAGUAAGAACUCUAGUCUCUGGCCUGAAACUAAAAUGCCUGUGCCAUCAUAAUGCCAUGUCACCAAAGAAUGACUGACUUUGUAUACACCUGGAUUAAAAAUUAUGUCCUGUUCUUGGUCCUGGGUCUGGGUUAAACACCUGACACUUUUCAUGGUAUCUUUCCCUCUCACUGUCUGUAAGCCUAUCUCCAAGUUAGCUCCAGGUCUGGAGAGAAACAAAAUGUUCUCCCUUGGCCUCGAAUUCCAUGUGAAAAGAUGAGUCACAAAAGGAGGUUCUGUGCCUCUCUCACGUACUGGGGCUACACUCACUUUUAUCAGCCAAAUGCUGUCAUGGGGUCUGUCUACCCAUCUCUUCUCCUUCUUGAGAUCUGGAGUGUCCUUCAUGCUUCCAAUUUUCUUUCUCAAAAUACAACUGACAGAGUUGAUCUGUAUGCACUAUCUUGCUGUUUUCAAGUGGCAUGCUAAAAUCCCCUGGUAUUCCAUCUUGGGAAAAAAAACUAAAAUGACUUUGAAACAUUAGAAAGCACCCCUAAUUUUCACAGUUAGCGUGACUGAAAGAACCAUUUACAUUUAGAGCAUAAGGUUUUUUUCAGACAACAAAUUUACAAACUAAAAACCUUUGAAACACAUUAGGAUAUUUAUAUGUCAUUACCAACUAGCUAAUACCUUUAGCUAAAAUAUAUUCUAAAAUGCUGCACUGAAGACUGAAAUAAUUUGCAUUUGAGAUCUAAAAACUGUUCAUAAGCUCAUAUGAAUGAAUUUAUAUUAAUUAAAACUACAAGGCCAUAUUAAGUUAUGGUUGUUUUAAGUAGCAAAAUGGCCAGUGUAGAUAUUUUUAUCUUUGUGUAAUAUAAUAAGUAUAAAUAUUUUCAAGAAUGUGUUAUGACUAAUAUAUAAUAUAGAAUGUAAUAACCUGGAAAAUUAUUGUAUGUGAUAAUUAUUAAUUUUAAUCUUUAAAUGUUUACAUCUUUAUACCUCAACCCGCCCUUAUGAGAAUCAUGUCAGUUCUUCAUUCAUCUUUGUCCCACAGCCAUAAUAAAAGUCUCAUUUAUUUUUCCUACUGUUUGAACUUUCUAUUUCAAACUUUGGUAAUCGGUUACUACCUUUCAAAAGCCUUGUAGAUUUUGAAGGACUAUAUUCCCUUAUUUUUUGUCCAUUUUGUCAGAUUAUCCUUUUUUUUAACAGAGCUGAAUUGUUACAUUUAUUGGCCCUGUUGAAGUGAAAAACCACUAGGAUAUUUUGCCUUGGGGCUAUGUAUUUUCCCUUUCUUGUUUCUUAGUAAAUAGGAGCCUAGUACUAGAAAUUGAGUUAUUGGCCCAUCGCCUUACAUUAAUUCUCUCAUUUAUGCUUUAUUACUACUUUAACAAGGUGCUUAGAGUUAGGAUUCACAUUUUAGAUGUGGCGAACUUGAGGCUUAAAAAUGUUGCUAUCAUCCUUAGGUGACAUUGCUAUUAAGAGGAGGACUCAGGAUAAGAACGUGGGGCUAGCUGACUUUGGAAUCCUUGCUUUAACUCUUGUGUUUUCUGCUUCACAUUUGCUUGCAUGGCUUCAUCUGCUGUUUGGAGAUAGUUGACAUUUCACUGCAUCUUGAUUCACAAGUUUUAUUUCUGUAUAUCAUGUGGUAGUUAGGUCAGGACUAGAGAGAUAUCUUCUUGUCUCUUCUAACCCUUACUGGCUAUUGUCCACUGCCUGACAGAUGAAAACUAGUCAUCUCUCUGAAAACUAUAAGCCAGAAGUCAUUCUUAAUUCCAUAGUUGUUGUACCAUAUUUUUGGGGCCAGAACAUUUCUUUAAUGUAUACAUCUUGUACCCUCAACCAAAUCUGUUUGUUAGGAGUUGGUAAAUAUUUGCCAGAAUUACUGUAAAUUGCCACAUAUGUGUAAUUAUUACAGAGUGCUUCUGAUCAAAUAAUAUUUCUAAGUCUCCACUGAACCAGAUUGCUUUACUUCAUGAAGUCUUUUAAGAUCUUCCAGGCUCUGUAUGUCUGUUUCAUAAUAUAUAUAGAUUCCUGAAUGCAGAAGACAUGCUCUUUUCUGGAGUAACCAGUAUUUACUUUUAACUCUCCAAUUUUAUAUUUAUUUGCUUUCUCUUAUACUAAGGUAAAAAACAUGUUAGAAAAUGUUACUGUUCAAAGUGUUUACCUCUUAUCUCCUAAACAGGAAAUUAUGAUUCAUUUGGUUUAAAUUUCUCAUCAGUUAUUUAUUUGGUAGAUUUUUCCUAGUUUUUAAACACGAUUGCUCUCAGAAACCUAAGCAUAGAGUAUCAAGUACGAUUGAUGAUCACAACACAUUAAUUGGAUAAAAAGGGGAUCAUGUUACUUAAGUAGCUUGGCUUACAAUUGGCCAUAGAACUGUUCCUAUUUGGAGCUCAAAAGUAUGAUACAUAGUCUUUGUUCCUUCAAUUAUUAUUUUUUCAUUAUCUACGCUCUAAUUUUGCUAUCUGGUAAACCUUGUUGUUCAGAGGGAUCCAGGGAACUUUCAUCAUUGCUUGCCUUUCCUAUAAACUGCGUUCAUUUUUCCUUUCCAAUUUGUGUCAAUUAAAACUUUCCUAAGUUAUAAUUUGGUGGAACUUAAUCUUUGUUAAAUAACAAAUAUACUGUAUGAAAGAUAACUCUUGCUAAACUGCAUCAGAGGAAGUAACACCCAUGCAUCCUUCCAGGAUAUUCUACAAAUAAUAACUAAACUAAAAUAAUGUUUAUAAUGCCUGAAUUUUCAUAGGGGCAUUAUGAUGCUGAAACUGAAGACCAAUGUGCCUCUGAAAACCCAUAUGAACAGUAGUCUGUUCUACUUAGUCAUACCUACUCCAUGAACAAAAUAAUGGUUCAUAUAUUUUUUUCUAUUUUUUUUGACUUUUUAAUGGCCAUCACAGAAAUCUAUCACUCUGAAACAGUUUUCUCUGUUACAGGUGGUUCAAAAGUAUAAAGCACAUUAUUCAUUAUAGUUAAACUGCUGAACUGUGUAAACAUACAUAUUUACUAAAACGACUAAAAUGGGUAAUAUUUUAAUAGAUCAUUGAUAGAUAUUUAGUAAAAACACUAAAUCAACAUAAUGCUCGCCAGAGCAAUAUAGGACUAUAGUAAGAGUGUAGACAAAAGGCUGUAAUUGUAUGUAUAUAUUAACAUUUUAUGUAAAAUUAUUUACUUUCAGUUUCUUUACCAGUUAUUUUUUGUUUCUUACCCUUAAUAUGAAUUUUGUUGCAAAACGAGGUCAUAACAUCUUGGUGUUUUAUGAAACUUGUGCACUAUGCAAUUUAGUCAGUGCUUAUACAUAGGUGAGACACUUCCAUUUGAAGAUGGAAUCACCAUUGACCUUUUACAGUGACAAGACUUUUUACUAAUCAUUUAUUUGAGGGUAAUGACUUCACAUAUGUGUGGAAGAAUAUAAUCUUAAUGUUGGAAACUAAUUUAAAAGUCAUUUGUAUGUUAAAACAGUGAACUAUUUACUGGUAACUAUCUUAAACGACAGUUAGUAUUAAAACCAGUGCUUUAUAAACAUCAAAUCAGCAAUGGAGGUAAAACAGCCAGUCAGCCAGGCCUCAUGGCUCCAAGUUGUAAUCUUAGCACUUUAGCAGGCAGAGGCAGGAGGCUUACUUGAGCCCAGGAGUUUGAGACCAGCCUGGGCAGCAAAGCAAAAAUCCGAUCUCUAUAAAUAAAUAAAUAAAUAAAUAGGAAAGAAAAAAAAUUAGCCAGUCAUGGUGGCACACUUGUGUAGUUCUAGCUACUCAGAAGGCUGAGCAGGGAGGAUUGCUUGAGCCUAAGAGUUUGAGGCUGUAGUCAGGUGUGAUUCUGCCACUUCACUCCAACAUAGACGAAAGAGUGAGACCCUGUCUCUAAAAUAAAAUAAAUAUAUUUUUAAAAUAAAAUAAAUAGUCAACAUCAUCAAGCAGCAUGUAUAAUACAAAAUAAUAAGAGUAAUAAUAAAAACAAAUAAAUAGAAACAAUUUCAACAAAACAUUUGAACUGGAGUCUGAAAUGUAUGGAUCUUAGUUCUGGCAGUACCUUUGGCUGUAUAUGUGACUUUGAGCCAAAAUACUUUUAUUUUCUGCAUUUAUAAAAUAUUCCAACUAUGAAAGUUAGGUGAGUAUUGAGUAGUACAUGAAGGUGGGGUGGUAGAGGAUUACUAAAUUGCUAAAUAAUCUGAAAUGCAAAUGCCUUCUCACCCUUGAGUGUAAAUUCUCCAGAGAGGUCAGUUGCAGUUUUGUCUGUUUUGUUUUCAUGACACUGCAUUAACAUACACCCAUGCUUAUUUUCAGGUUUCUGCUCAUUCAGUGGGAAAAUUCUGGUAAUGAUUUUGGCAAUAUCACUCCUGUUGGGGGUGGUUUCCAAAAUCUAAAGGGCUGUAUUUCACUUUGAGCAAUCUUCCAUUAGUCAUAUUUAUUGGAUAAACUUGGCCAGGUCAGCAAUCACUAAAAGCACACGCAAACAAAUUUAGUUGGUGUUGCUUCUGUUUGAAGAAAACACAAAUAAGGUAGGCUGUAACUAUCUCUUUGAGAGUUACAGACUAACAACUUAAAAAAUCUAUAAUCCAGAGAAGAAAAGACUAGAUAUAAUUGCUCAGCAAAAAAGUUUACGUGUCUGAGCCUCCUAUAGAUAGAUCAUCUUAAUGAGUCCAAAGACUCUCAAGGAAAAAGAAAACACACACAUCUUUGUCUUUCCAUUUCAAAAAUGAUGGAAGUCUUUCAAGUAUGAAAAAUAAAGCAAAUUGAAACCAUCUCCUAUCUGUCUUUUAAUAAAACAAGAGUGAAAGAUACUGCAUAAUCUUUGUAAAUGUUUGUAAAUCCUUUAACUCUCAGAUUUCUUUUGUAAUUAAGAUUAGAAUCUAUUCAAUUCAUCUAACUUUCUCUCCUAAUUCUUUAUCAUUAAGAGAAUUCAUCAAGGCUACCACAUAAGAAUGGGAAAGAUUCCAAAUUUUAUAGCUGCCUUCUAUAUUGAAGCCAAAACAUUUUAUGAGUCUCUUGGUUCUAAUGUUCUUAACUCAGUUGAGUGUCUGAGCAUUUUAGAUGAGAGACAUUUUUAUCACUUUGACAAAAAUGGCAUCUUUAAUUUUAAUGGCUCCAUCAAAAAUUGAUCAAGCAUGUUGUUUUUUGUGAGUCCUUUUAGAAAUGAAUUCACUAACCAACAAUUUUAAAGAUUCAUCCAUUUUUAUUUAAAAACGUCCCUUCAGCUCACUACAUGAACUAUUUAUUCACAGAUGGCAUCUUUUAAAAAUAAAUCUGAAUUGUGUUUUGAAACCCAGAACCAAGGUUUCCAACAAUGAGCUCAGUUUUUGCAGUUAAUCAAUCAUUCAGUCACACCAUCUGAUGUGGUUUGAACAUUUGUCCUCUCCAAAUCUCAUGUCGAAAUGUGAUUCCCAGUGUUGGAGGUGGAGCUUUGUGGGAGGUGGUUGGUUUAGGGGGUCAGAUCCCUUGUGAAUGGCUUAGCACCAUUGCUUUGGUGAUGGAUAAGUUAUUGCCCAGUUUGUUCACACAAAAGUUGGUUAUUUAAAAGAGUGUAGCACCUCCCUUAUUUCUCUCUCUUGCUCCCAUUCUUGCCAUAUGACAUCCCUCCUCCCCACUUCACCUUCCAUCAUGACUAUAAGCUUCCAGAAGCCUGCAAUAGAAGCAGAUGCCAGCACCACACUACCCAUACUCCCUGUAGAACCAUGAGCCAAUUAAACCUCCUUUCUUUAUAAAUUAUAAAUUUCUUUAUAAAUUUACCAGUCUCAGGUAUUCCUUUAUAGUAACACAAACAGAGUAAUACAACAUUAUAGUAUUACCUAUCCUCAUUUUCAUAAACAAUCGUUUCCUAUUCUAUACAGGAAAGAAUACAUUAUUUUGAGUGACAAUGCUUUUGUAAUUUCAAACCUUUUAAAAAUAAUUCUUGCAUAUAUUUUGAUAUCUUAAUUCUUGUACACAUUUAUAUCUUAAGUAGUUCUAUGGAAGGCAUGAUUUUAAAAAAAUGAAGUUUUGUUUUUGCACCCCUCUUUUAAAAGAAAUAUGUCCAAGUUAAUGCAUUCUGUACCUAUAAUAUUCAUUUUUUUAAAAAAAUACUCAAAUAUUUAGCAAUGGUUUUGGAGUUUUAAAUAUUUUAAAGUAUACAUGAUUAUUAGGGGAAAAUUUAAGAAAGCAACACUUUGUUGCCAAUUAGGUGAAGAAUAAUUUAUUUAAAGAGAUAGUUUACUGGAAGAAUUAGUAUUAAAAAUUUUAAUUGUUGAAACCAAAUCGUAUAUAAACUGCAACCUAAAACAUUAGAAGUAAUGUUCUGUAUAUAAUCUGUACAUGUUUGCCAAAAUUCUGUUUCUGGUAUUUUAACAUAGCAAUUGUUUUUCUGUUCAUAAAUAAAGAUGAAAAUGUUUAUUGCAAAUUAUCAGUUAUUUAUUAUCUCAUUACAGAUGCAAAUAAAACCAUAGACAAAAAUAGACUGCUUUUAAAUGGCUGUCUUCUAAUUUUCACCUUGUAUUACAAAGAUGAUAUGAACUACUAAACUAUAUUAUUUAAAAAUAAAUAAAGGUCCUUAUCAUUUAUCACCCCUACAGUAAAUAUUGAACAAAACAACCAUGUCUCUAUUCCUUUCUAGUCUUUGAUAAUAUGCAAACUUACUUUUAUCAAUGUUGCUAAAUUUCGAACACUUUAGUGGCAAUGCACUUUGCUAGAUUUAGAAUAUAAUGGACUUGCAAGGAGAUGCAUAUUGUUUUAUAUUUCAGGGAGCCUAAAAUGUGAUUUACAAACCAUUCUUAUGAGUCCAGAAAGGAUUUCCACAGGAAAUGUAGUUUGAGUGUGAACUUGAUGUUUAGAAAUAGUUAUAAAAAAGGCAUAGAUAAUAUCAGUUUUGUACGUUAACACAUAUUAUAUAAUUUUCAUUUUUAAUGACUAUAUAGUGUUCAAGUCAUCUCUAUUUUACGUAAUGAUUUUUCUGUUUUAGAGCCUUGGUUCUUUUCAGUCCUUUAAUUUGCCAUUAUACAUAUGUCUAAUAGAAUAUAUAUGUAUAUAUCUGUAUGAUUUUAUUAAAAUAAAGCCACCAAAAUGGUAUGGUUUUGUUAACAAAAGAUGAGAGUUUAAAAAAAAAAUAGAGAAUUUGAAGUUGCCUUUCCUUUCUCCGAUCAUUGGUAAUGUCUUAAUUUAUGCCUGUAUAUGUUAAUUGAAUGAAAGGUUCUCAUCUGCUCAUUUGGUGGGUAGUACCCAAUGGAGUGGUCUAUACAAAAUGGGAUUUUAGCAUCUAGAUGUUCAUUUUUAAAAACAAAAGGAAAUUUUGUAGUUAUAUAUUUCAAGACUCUUAAUAUCUAAGAUGUUUAAUGAUGCAAUGAUAAUAAAUUUUUCUUAUGGACAAUGACAACAACAAUAAAAAAGUGUGAGAUAAUUGAGUCUAGGACCAAAGUCUCAUCACACACCAACUGUAGGUCUUCGUCACUCUAUUUUCCUUUUGUCCAUGGUUAAAAUUAUCUAAAUCAUUUGGGUUUUUAUUUAUAUUUUCAGAUCAUAUGAAUUUACGGGAUCUUUUUUUCACAUACAGUAUCUGAAAUGCUCUCUCUCUCUCUCUUUUUAAAUUUGUCACAAACUUAACCAGAUUUGAUAUUUUCAAAGGUAAGUCCCAUUCUUGGCUACCUUCUGUGUUCUUCAGUGUCUUGUGCUAACUCUUCACUGAUAUUAUCUUAUUUAAUUUUCAUGUAAAAUCUGUGAGAUAAAAUAAUUGGUGCUUAGGUAAAAUGACUUUCUAAUAAUCAUAAAGCUAAUAAAUGAUAGAAUCAAAUUUUAAAAUAUCCCUCUUUCUAGUAUAGUUAUUAUGCAGUCUUGCAUCAGAUAGAUCUGUAUGGAGUUCCAUUCUUGCUACUUCCACCAUUCUACCCUAAAAUUGUCACCUAUAGCCUGCACUAUGGAAAUCAUCCCCUAACUGAUUUCUCUGCUUCAACUUUAGCCAUCAUCAGCCAGAAAAAUAUUUGAAAAAAUAUAAAUUUGAUCAUGUAAUCCAUUGUUGAUGUUUUCCCUUCUUUAUCUCCUUCAGAUAUUUGAGCUAAAUUUACAUGAUAAGGAGUUAGCUAGGCAAAGAAGAGGAAUUAGGAUAUUCCAAAUUGGUGGUGCAGAUGCCUCACAUAUCCAAAAGGCAAGUUUGCUUGAAGAUUUGCAAGUAUAAUUAGAGAGUUGAAGUCAUUUUUUAAAGUAUAUGUUUUAGCAGGUGAUUCUGGAAUGAUGGCAUAGUGAGAAGCACCAGAAAUCUGUCUUCUCAUCCAGACAACAAAUUUACUUUCAGAAUAUGUCUGAUAUAACUGUACUGAAACUCUGAAGCCUAUUGAAGUCUUGAAACUUCUGAAAGAAGGAUUGGACAGUAAAUUGUAGUUAAUUUUGAUCUUCCACUUCAGCUACCCAUCCCCUGCACCCAGUUCCAGGGCAGCCAGCUGUGUACAUGUUCCUAGAGCAGCAUGCAUACAGCUUGGGGAAGCCAGAAUGUGCAAAAAUGACUCUCAAAUAUCAGGAUCUGUGUUCUGAUUAUUGAUUGCUGAUUUUGAUGAUUAUGACGAGGCAGUGGCCGUUAUUGUUUCACCAACCCCUAUUGUUGUAAGUCUUCUGCUUCUGGCUGAGGUGACUUCAAGGGGAUUUAAGAGGCUGGUGCCUUGUUCCCACUUUUAUUUUUGCCUUUGUCUCAUUUUGGGAGCCAGACAUUGAUAACUAAAAUAUUUUUUAAAAAUACAUAUAUUAGGUAAAUUAAGAAGUAACCACACUUGCCAAGGGGAAGUUACAGGCUUAAAUAAGACAUGAAAAUACCUUAAGUUUACAUUUCAGGCGAACUCUGCAACAGAGACAGCCUACAACAAUCAAAACGAAACAUAAACAAAAAAUGAAAACAAGAACAAACACUGUGGGAAAGGGAUAAUCUAAUAUUCUAGGGUUAUUAUAUAAUUAGAUUCAAAUGUAUAGUUUUCAGAAAAAUGUAUAAACAUACAAGGAAACAAGAAAAGAUGAGAUAGUUCAAGAAAAAAAAUUAACCAACAGAAUUUCUGAUGGCAGAUCUACUAGACAAAAAAAAAAUCUGUAUUAAAAAUACUCAAAGAAUUAAAGGAACACAUUGAAACGUCAACACAAUUAUAUGUGAACAAAGUAGAAAAAUCAAUAAAUUUACAGAAAACCUAAGGAGAAACAAAAAAUAUCUUAUAGCUAAAAAGUACCAGAAAAGAAAAGAAAAAAAUUCACUAGAGGGAUUUAUAGAAAGAUUUCAUCAGGCUGGAGCAAGAAUCAGCAAACUUGAAGAUAGAGCAUUAAAAAUUAUAGUCUUAGGAAAAGAAAGUUAAAAAAAAAAAACAGAUUGAACAAAAGGACCAUUGGUAUGUCAUCAAGGAGACCAACACAUUUUGUAGACCUAAAGAAGAGAGUUAGAAAGGAGCAGAGAGAAUGUUUGAAGAAAUAAUGGCUGAAGGCUUUCCAAAUUUGAUGAAAGACAUAAAUAUAAGCAGCUAAGAAUCUCAGAGAACUCCACGUGGGAUGAACUCAAAGACAGCCACACCUAAAUACAUUAUAUAAUCAAACUGUUUAAAGACAAAUAAAUUUGAAAGCAGCAUGGGAGAAGCCUGCUUAUCAUAUGCAAACGAUACUAAUAAGUAACUUUGGAGGCCACAAAGCUGUGGGUUGAUACAUUCAGUGCUAAAAGAAAAUUAAAAAAAAAAAUAUCAACCAAGACUCCUGUAUUUAACAAAACUUGUCUUCAAAAGUGACAGAGAAAGUAAAAGAAUCCCAGAUAAAGAAAAGCUGAAGUAGUUAUUACCAGUAGACCUGCCUUAAAAUAAAUGUUAAGGAGAGUUCUGCAGAUCAAAAUAAGAAGACAUCAAACAGUAGGUCUCAAUCAGUAAGAAGAAAUAAAGAUCUCAGUAAAGAAUCCCUGUAACCAUUCAUCCAGGUGUUGAGAAGAUAUGUAGCAGCCGAGCACCCAUCUUUUGACACCGUCCUCUGAAAUCAGCUUUGGAGAUGCUUUCACUCUGUCCGUCUUCUGCAGCAGCCAGGCAGAGUGCCGACUCCUUCACAGCCGUGAGGAACUCUUCAGGCUCCAGAAGCUCUUAAACCUGAUCUACAAUGGAAAAAAUUCUUUUUUAUCUGUUUCUCAUUGGCAUAGCAGUGAAAGCUCAGAUCUGUCCAAAGCGUUGUGUCUGUCAGAUUUUGUCUCCUAAUCUUGCAACCCUUUGUGCCAAGAAAGGGCUUUUAUUUGUUCCACCAAACAUUGACAGAAGAACUGUGGAACUGCGGUUGGCAGACAAUUUUGUUACAAAUAUUAAAAGGAAAGAUUUUGCCAAUAUGACCAGCUUGGUGGACCUGACUCUAUCCAGGAAUACAAUAAGUUUUAUUACACCUCAUGCUUUCGCUGACCUACGAAAUUUGAGGGCUUUGCAUUUGAAUAGCAACAGAUUGACUAAAAUUACAAAUGAUAUGUUCAGUGGUCUUUCCAAUCUUCAUCAUUUGAUACUGAACAACAAUCAGCUGACUUUAAUUUCCUCUACAGCGUUUGAUGAUGUCUUCGCCCUUGAGGAGCUGGAUCUGUCCUAUAAUAAUCUAGAAACCAUUCCUUGGGAUGCUGUUGAGAAGAUGGUUAGCUUGCAUACCCUUAGUUUGGAUCACAAUAUGAUUGAUAACAUUCCUAAGGGGACCUUCUCCCAUUUGCACAAGAUGACUCGGUUAGAUGUGACAUCAAAUAAAUUGCAGAAGCUACCACCUGACCCUCUCUUUCAGCGAGCUCAGGUACUAGCAACCUCAGGAAUCAUAAGCCCAUCUACUUUUGCAUUAAGUUUUGGUGGAAACCCCUUGCAUUGCAAUUGUGAAUUGUUGUGGUUGAGGCGUCUGUCCAGAGAAGAUGACUUAGAGACCUGUGCUUCUCCUCCACUUUUAACUGGCCGCUACUUUUGGUCAAUUCCUGAAGAAGAGUUUUUGUGUGAGCCUCCUCUCAUUACUCGUCAUACACAUGAGAUGAGAGUCCUGGAGGGACAAAGGGCAACACUGAGGUGCAAAGCCAGGGGAGACCCUGAGCCUGCAAUUCACUGGAUUUCUCCUGAAGGGAAGCUUAUUUCAAAUGCAACAAGAUCUCUGGUGUAUGAUAACGGAACACUUGACAUUCUUAUCACAACUGUAAAGGAUACAGGUGCUUUUACCUGCAUUGCUUCCAAUCCUGCUGGGGAAGCAACACAAAUAGUGGAUCUUCAUAUAAUUAAGCUCCCUCACUUACUAAAUAGUACAAACCAUAUCCAUGAGCCUGAUCCUGGUUCUUCAGAUAUCUCAACUUCUACCAAGUCAGGUUCUAAUACAAGCAGUAGUAAUGGUGAUACUAAAUUGAGUCAAGAUAAAAUUGUGGUGGCAGAAGCUACAUCAUCAACGGCACUACUUAAAUUUAAUUUUCAAAGAAAUAUCCCUGGAAUACGUAUGUUUCAAAUCCAGUACAAUGGUACUUAUGAUGACACCCUUGUUUACAGAAUGAUACCUCCUACGAGCAAAACUUUUCUGGUCAAUAAUCUGGCUGCUGGAACUAUGUAUGACUUGUGUGUCUUGGCCAUAUAUGAUGAUGGCAUCACUUCCCUCACUGCCACAAGAGUCGUGGGUUGCAUCCAGUUUACUACGGAACAGGAUUAUGUGCGUUGCCAUUUCAUGCAGUCUCAGUUUUUGGGAGGCACCAUGAUUAUUAUUAUUGGUGGAAUCAUUGUAGCAUCUGUGCUGGUAUUCAUCAUUAUUCUGAUGAUCCGGUAUAAGGUUUGCAACAAUAAUGGGCAACACAAGGUCACCAAGGUUAGCAAUGUUUAUUCCCAAACUAACGGGGCUCAAAUACAAGGCUGUAGUGUAACGCUGCCCCAGUCCGUGUCCAAACAAGCUGUGGGACACGAAGAGAAUGCCCAGUGUUGUAAAGCUACCAGUGACAAUGUGAUUCAAUCUUCAGAAACUUGUUCGAGUCAGGACUCCUCUACCACUACCUCUGCUUUGCCUCCUUCCUGGACUUCAAGCACUUCUGUGUCCCAAAAGCAGAAAAGAAAGACUGGCACAAAGCCAAGUACAGAACCACAGAAUGAAGCCGUCACAAAUGUUGAAUCCCAAAACACUAACAGGAACAACUCAACUGCCUUGCAGUUAGCUAGCCGUCCUCCCGAUUCUGUCACAGAGGGGCCCACGUCUAAAAGAGCACAUAUAAAGCCAAGUAAGUUUAUCACUUUGCCUGCUGAGAGAUCCGGAGCAAGGCACAAGUACUCCCUCAAUGGAGAAUUAAAGGAAUACUAUUGUUAUAUUAACUCGCCGAACACAUGUGGACUGUUUCCUAAAAGAAGCAUGUCUAUGAAUGUGAUGUUUAUUCAGUCUGACUGUUCUGAUGGUCAUAGUGGAAAGGCAACUCUCAAAUUCUGAGGGACUACUGGAAAGCUCUGUGUAAUUUAUAAUUUCUUUUUCAUGAAAAAUCAUUUUGAGAACUCACAUAGAAGAUUGGAAUUUGCAAUUCCAAUGCUGUGUAUAAAUCAACCUUCUCAGAUGCUUUGCUGACUAAUGUUGACCAGAUUGUCCAGGAAACACAGAGGCUGGAGUUAAUCUGAAGAGCACCACUUCUCCUCUCUCUCCUGAAAAAAUUUGCCACUGAUAUUUUUACUGGAUAAAAUUCAAAAAUGUUUCAAUUCACAAAGGCUAAUUGUUGAACUGGUGUCGUAGAAGAAAUUGUCUACAGGAGCCAAGGUGAAAGUCUCUGAUGACGGCGGAACUGGCUCCAUUAGACCAUGGUUCAUCCUCUUUUAAAACCAAAUUUUUUUUUCUUCUGGCCUACAAGUAUUUUUUUUUUAAAAAAGAAAAAAAGCCUACAUUGGCAUCAAGUUCUGUAUCAAUCCAUCUUACAUUGCCAUCCAUGAUUUAACAGACUGUAGAAUCUUGAAUAAUCUAUAUCACUUUAACAAAUAAAUGUUUUACUAUGACAGAA